CAUGUAGGCGGUCUGUCAAGUCUGAUGUGAAAGCCCGGGGCUCAACCCCGGAAGUGCAUUGGAAACUGGCAGACUUGAGUACGGGAGAGGAAAGUGGAAUUUCGAGUGUAGGGGUGAAAUCCGUAGAUAUUCGAAGGAACACCAGUGGCGAAGGCGGCUUUCUGGACCGAUACUGACGCUGAGGCGCGAAGGCGUGGGGAGCAAACAGGAUUAGAUACCCUGGUAGUCC
rnacentral:rRNA from 1 species